CGAACAGGACCGUGAAACGACUCCGCGCCGAUGAUAGUGCGGAUUCCCGUGUGAAAGUAGGUCAUCGCCAGGC
rnacentral:rRNA from 1 species